GCGCGUGUGGCGGAAUUGGCAGACGCACCAGACUUAGGAUCUGGCGCCUUUGGCGUGGGGGUUCAAGUCCCUCCACGCGCACCA
rnacentral:tRNA from 2 species